rnacentral:tRNA from 1 species
GAGGCUAUAGCUUAAUGGUAGAAUGCCUGCUUAGCAUGCACGAGGUCCUGGGCUCAAUCCCCAGUACUUCCA